rnacentral:rRNA from 1 species
CGGGGUGAGUAAUGUCUGGGAAACUGCCUGAUGGAGGGGGAUAACUACUGGAAACGGUAGCUAAUACCGCAUAACGUCGCAAGACCAAAGUGGGGGACCUUCGGGCCUCAUGCCAUAAGAUGUGCCCAGAUGGGAUUAGCUAGUAGGUGGGGUAACGGCUCACCUAGGCGACGAUCCCUAGCUGGUCUGAGAGGAUGGCCAGCCACACUGGAACUGAGACACGGUCCAG